rnacentral:lncRNA from 1 species
UCUGCUCAACCCAGGUAUCACAGAACUCUGGCCAUCCAUGGCAUCCUUGUUGCAGCAAGGUCAUCAAUUGGUCAUAUUGUUGUCUGCUCAACCCAGGUAUCACAAAACUCUGGCCAUCCAUGUUUGGAACAGGGUGAUGGCUUUCAAGAGGAUUUCCUUGAGGAACAAACACAUUUCCUUCAGAAGAAGGGAAAUCCACACCAGCAGUUAGAUGAGCAGCAACAGGUCUCCUCCCCUUGUUAAAUGUUGUACUUUAUGGAUACCCAUGAAUCUUGUAACACUUAUCAAUUAAGUGCCCAGAUUU